GCAUAGGUUGUGCUUGGUAGGUGAGUAACAUCCCAAUUCUGCUUACUGGCACUUCGUGUUCUGUAAUUGGUUGGUUGCACCGUUUGAACAACUGAUUACUCACCCUCAAUUGCUCAUGUCUUUAAUGAACCUUUCAUAAUGCAAGAUUUACAAGGACCUUGGCAAUGAUGGCAUGUACAAGGACUCAAAUGACAUCCUAUGAUCGAUCGAUCCCCUUCAAUAUAUUAUAUUAAUCACUUCUCUCAUGUUUUGGCACUUGGCAGUAAAUAAAAUCAUGAGUUUUCUUAAUUAGUUUGCUUUUUCAUUUUUAAUCUUUUUACAUCAAAAGGGUCAUUGGAGGAUGGUGUUUUGGCCAACCAAGGUGGCCAUGGUGUCUCAUGUUAUUCAUCUGUGGAGAUUAGGUUUAUCACUUCCUUUUAUUAAUUUUUCUCCUACGGUGUGAAAAGUAGGUUUGGAUUCAUGCUAUCAUGCUUGAUUAUAUAUCCCUCCUACCAUAUAUGUUGACUUCCCC
rnacentral:lncRNA from 1 species